UACGUAGGGGGCAAGCGUUGUCCGGAAUUAUUGGGCGUAAAGAGCGCGCAGGCGGUCCUUUAAGUCUGAUGUGAAAGCCCACGGCUCAACCGUGGAGGGUCAUUGGAAACUGGAGGACUUGAGUGCAGAAGAGAAGAGUGGAAUUCCACGUGUAGCGGUGAAAUGCGUAGAGAUGUGGAGGAACACCAGUGGCGAAGGCGACUCUUUGGUCUGUAACUGACGUUGAGGCGCGGAAAGCGUGGGGAGCAAACAGGG
rnacentral:rRNA from 1 species